CCUACGGGCGGCAGCAGUGGGGAAUAUUGCACAAUGGGCGAAAGCCUGAUGCAGCAACGCCGCGUGAGCGAUGAAGGCCUUCGGGUCGUAAAGCUCUGUCCUCAAGGACGAUAAUGACGGUACUUGAGGAGGAAGCCCCGGCUAACUACGUGCCAGCAGCCGCGGUAAUACGUAGGGGGCUAGCGUUAUCCGGAAUUACUGGGCGGAAAGGGUGCGUAGGUGGUUUCUUAAGUCAGAGGUGAAAGGCUAGGGCUCAACCGUAGUAAGCCUUUGAAACUGGGGAACUUGAGUGCAGGAGAGGAGAGUGGAAUUCCGAGGGUAGCGGUGAAAUGCGUAGAUAUGAGGAGGAACACCAGUGGCGAAGGCGGCUCUCUGGACUGUAACUGACACGGAGGCACGAAAGCGUGGGGAGCAAACAGGAUUAGAUACCCCAGUAGUC
rnacentral:rRNA from 1 species